rnacentral:rRNA from 1 species
UACGAAGGGGGCUAGCGUUGCUCGGAAUGACUGGGCGUAAAGGGCGCGUAGGCGGUUUGGACAGUCAGGCGUGAAAUUCCCGGGCUUAACCUGGGGGCUGCGCUUGAUACAUCCAGGCUUGAGUGGGGAAGAGGGUCGUGGAAUUCCCAGUGUAAAGGUGAAAUUCGUAGAUAUUGGGAAGAACACCAGUGGCGAAGGCGGGUCUCUGGGCCGAUACUGACGCUGAGGAGCGAAAGCGUGGGGAGCGAACAGG